ACAGGUGCUCUACUCCGAUUCUCCGAAUUAACAAUCGCUGCAGUUCGAAGAAUUUUCUGAUUCUGACUAUACGACAAGCACCUUUCCCGACGUUCUGUACAACGAAAAUGCUUUGCUCGGUUCCCUCUCCCGGAAAGUCCGGUACGAAUUGGCUCGACCGGCUCCGGUCCAACAAGGGCUUCUUGACCUCUACCGAUGAAGACAAUGUUGACAACAACCUUGGCCUUGACCACUUCCUCCACAACGAAAACCCUAGCGAGUCAACCCGCUCCAACUCCGGCUUUACUCCGUCCGGCCGCGAACGAGUAGCUAAUCGGGCAGGGCACGAAGGCGGACAUCAACGGCAAGAAAAACUGUAUAGUAUCAUGAGCAAUGUCCUCUCCGAGCUAUUCUUUAUGGACGGUGAUGCCCACAUCAAAAGCUCCAAACUUUCCGGGAAAAAGUUUCCCAGGAAACAAGCAAUCCCCAAAUCUCUAACCACCUCAGCCAUCAGUAAUAUGCAUCUCCAACACCAGAAACAACAAGAAGUGAAGAGUCCCGCUUGUGCCUCGAAGGACGAUAUUGGCCCGCGAACGGCGUCGUUAAAUUCCGAUAGCAGUUCGAAGGAAACAAAAGAAGGGAAUGUGGGAGAGGAGGAAGAGGAGAGGGUGGAGGAGGAUAAGGGGGAGAGAGAGCUAGUUGGAUAUUCGAGAAGUGAGGUGACCGUGAUCGAUACGAGUUUCGGGGUGUGGAAGAGUGACAAGGUGGUGUAUAGGAGAAAGAACACGUGGAAGGUAAGGGAGAAGAGAGGGAAAGUAAGGAGCUUUGGUAGGAAGAAGAGGAAAUUAGGGAGUGGUGUCCGUGACGAUGAUAACAGUGAUGAUGAAAAUGUUGGUGGGGUGAUGAAGAAAACCAAGGUUUCGAGCUCGGAGUCUGUAGCGGCUUUGAAUCAAUAUGUGACUAGUAGCCUCUCUCAUUGUGUUAGUUGAAGAUGUAACUCAGCAGCCCCUCUCAGAGAGAGAGAGAGAGAACAAAGCUGACUUUGAUAGAGAGGUCUGCCACACCCACACACAUUCCUGCACACGCGCUAACACACGCAUUCAACUCUUUGCUGUUUGAGGGACAGAACUCUCAGACGGACACAAGGGAAGAGGUUUGUAAAGACAAACCUGAUGUUCUUACUCAAGUCCCUAAAAGGAGGCAAGUGCACUUGCUAGCUGCGUAAGGUUUCAUUUUUCCAGAUCACCCAGAAAAUCAAGAAAGGGAGGCUCACCAGUUAUCCUUAUUAAAGGAGUUCCUACAAGCAAGAAACAAGAUGAAAAGCCUCUUAGAAAGUGUCACAAAGAUGGCCAAAAAUAAUCAGAGGCCUGAUUGAUAUGCUAUUUGAAAAUUCGAAAAUUUUGAAUUUGGGCACAGCUGAUCGUCUGAUAAUGUAAUCAGUAUCGGGUCCUAUUUACUACUAUUUCUUGUAUGUGGAAGAAGUCAAGGAGUUCGAGGUUAACUCACACCUGGGCACACCUGGGCACACCUGGGCGUAGAACUCUUCUACAAUUGGUUUAAUCAAUCAAACAUGGCGUGAUAAUUUAUUUCUUCUCUCAAUUGAAGAUAUCUAUUUAUUUUGUGACA